AACUCUUAACGGUGGAUGUCUUGGUUCCCGCAACGAUGAAGAGCGCAGCAAACUGCGAUACGUAGUGUGAAUUGCAGAAUUCCGUGAAUCAUCGAAUUCUUGAACGCAAGUUGCGCUCGUGGGUAUUCCUGCGAGCAUGCCUGUUUGAGUGUC
rnacentral:rRNA from 14 species